UGGGGAAUAUUGCACAAUGGGCGCAAGCCUGAUGCAGCCAUGCCGCGUGUGUGAAGAAGGCCUUCGGGUUGUAAAGCACUUUCAGCGGGGAGGAAGGCGAUAAGGUUAAUAACCUUGUCGAUUGACGUUACCCGCAGAAGAAGCACCGGCUAACUCCGUGCCAGCAGCCGCGGUAAUACGGAGGGUGCAAGCGUUAAUCGGAAUUACUGGGCGUAAAGCGCACGCAGGCGGUCUGUCAAGUCGGAUGUGAAAUCCCCGGACUCAACCUGGGAACUGCCUUCGAAACUGGCAGGCUAGAGUCUUGUAGAGGGGGGUAGAAUUCCAGGUGUAGCGGUGAAAUGCGUAGAGAUCUGGAGGAAUACCGGUGGCGAAGGCGGCCCCCUGGACAAAGACUGACGCUCAGGUGCGAAAGCGUGGGGAGCAAACAGG
rnacentral:rRNA from 1 species